rnacentral:tRNA from 1 species
GAGAGUAUAACUCAGUGGUAGAGUGCAUGUUUGUCAUGCAUGAGGUCCUGGGUUCAAUCCCCAGUACCUCCA